UAUUAACGCGAAGGACCUUACCUGGCCUUGACAUCCAGAGAACUUAGCAGAGAUGCUUUGGUGCCUUCGGGAACUCUGAGACAGGUGCUGCAUGGCUGUCGUCAGCUCGUGUUGUGAAAUGUUGGGUUAAGUCCCGCAACGAGCGCAACCCUUAUCCUUUGUUGCCAGCGAUUCGGUCGGGAACUCAAAGGAGACUGCCGGUGAUAAACCGGAGGAAGGUGGGGAUGACGUCAAGUCAUCAUGGCCCUUACGGCCAGGGCUACACACGUGCUACAAUGGCGCAUACAAAGAGAAGCGACCUCGCGAGAGCAAGCGGACCUCAUAAAGUGCGUCGUAGUCCGGAUUGGAGUCUGCAACUCGACUCCAUGAAGUCGGAAUCGCUAGUAAUCGUAGAUCAGAAUGCUACGGGAAUACGACCAU
rnacentral:rRNA from 1 species